UCUAAUGGCUGCACUACAACUUGCAGAUUAAAGACCAUAUGCCAGGCUACGGAUCCAAACAAUAAAACAAGAAAACUCAAACACCGGCACGGAUCUAUGGCACCUGACAUUAGCUUGUCGGACCACAGAUCGUGUUCUUGACAGUUUUUGAAAAACACCAAAUUAAAGCACUUUGAUGCUAUGGAUAUAUGUUUGAUCAUCAUAGAUCAACAUAAAACAUCCUCUAGCAUUAAUCCAAACACAUAAACAUGAACUCUGUCUUAGCAACAUGGAUCAAAAAUAAAAGUAGGUUUUAUACCUUCUUGACCAAACUUUGAUCUUGAUCUUUCCAAUCUGUUUAUGAUUGAUAAUGAGGCUGGUAUUAGGACUGAUUUACUAUCAAAUUUCGUGGGUUCUAGUACGAG
rnacentral:lncRNA from 1 species